ensembl:lncRNA
CUGGUUUUUAAAAAUUAAAAUGUAUUUAGAAAUUAUUUUCUAAAUCAGUCCUAAAGGAAAUCAAUCCUGAAUAUUCAUUGAAAGGACUGUUGCUGAAGCUGAAACUCCAAUCCUUUGGCCACCUGUUGCGAAGAGCUGACUCAUUUGAAAAGACCCUGAUGCUGGCAAAGAUUGAAGGUGGGAGAAGGGGACGACAGAGGAUGAGAUGGUUAGAUGGCAUCACCGUCUCAAUGGACAUGAGUUUGAGUAAACUCCGGGAGUUGGUGAUGGACAGGGAAGUCUGACGUGCUGCAGUCCAUGGGGUCGCAAAAGUCAGACAUGACUGAGUGACUGAACUGACUGAGAAACUAUUUCAGACUGAUAGUAGAGAGAUGAGUAUAUAUGUGACAAGCAUACACAAUAGGAUGUUCCUUAUAAAAUCUAGGGGAUGGUAGAUGGGUAUUCACUGUACCAUUCUUCUGACGUUUCUGUGUAUUUGGACAUCUCCAUUAUAAAAUACUGGUGGGAAAAAGAGACUGCACCUGCCAGUCUAGCUUGAACACAUUUCUUUCCGCAAUCACUGAUCUGGAAAAAGUGUCCAGAUUCACUCUGGGUAGGUCUCAUUAACCCCACCCCCAUCCCUCCAACCCUGGGGAAUCAGGGGGUUGCCCCUUGCACACCUCACAUCCCAUAAUAUAACUUUCUGUAUAACUUUCUAAUAAAGGGGAAAAUCCACAGAUUUGGGAGGUUGCUGGAGUUGUGUUUCUCUUCCCGAAAUCCAGAGUCCCAGACACCAGCAAAAGGCCAGCCUUAUAAGCAGGCCUUUUGAGGACAGUGGUCUCAGAGCUGUUGUGUUAACUCUUCUGUGCUUGUGCCACGUAGCUGACUAACAGCUGGCUAUCCCGCUUUCCCCAGGAACAUCCUUGAUGUGCAACACGUGUGUGUGCGUGUGAGUGUGUGGGCAUGUGCUCAGUUGUGUCAGACUCUUUGCGACCCCAUGGACUGUAGCCCACCAGGCUCCUCCGUCCAUGGGAUUCUCCAGGCAAGAAUACUGGAGUGGGUUGCCACUUCCUCCUCCAGGUGAUCUUCCCAAGCCAGGUUUCAAACAUGCUUCUCUUGCAUCUCCUGCAUUGGAAGGCAGGUUCUUUAUCAGCUGAGCUGCUAUGGAAGCCCAGAGGUCUUGAUAAUUUCCAGGAAUUAGGUAUACUACAUUUUCAACACCAAUCUCGGCUCUGAGAGAUCAUUUAAAUAUUCCCUGAUAAUUACAUUAAAAAUAGCAUUUGUAUAGCACUUCAGGAUGGAGAGUGUUCUCACCUGCAUUUCUGCCUGAAGCAUCACAGCGGCCUCGUGAAAAGGGGCUGGAUAUUUCUGAAUCUGAGUGCAGAGCGUGGGAGCUCAGGAGAGUGACCGCCCUCACCGCUCACAUGGGCAGGAAAUGCAGUGUCAGGACUGCAGCCUCUCCUGACUGCCAUGGUCUCUUCUUAAACUGUUAUUUGAAGAGAAAAAGCAACCCUCAUAAAUGGUUUUACUUUGUGCAAAAUAUAAAUUCACUGGUAGAUAUUCUGGAGACUCAGGCUUCCCUGGUGGCUCAGCUGGUAAAGAUUCUGCCUGCAGUGCAGGAGACUGCAGUUUGAUUCCUGGGUUGGGAAGAUCUGCUGGAGAAGGGAUAGGCUACCCACUCCAGCAUCCUUGGGCUUCUCUGGUGGCUCAGCUGGUAAAGAAUCCGCCAGCAAUGUAGGAGACCUGGGUUCGAUCCCGGGGUCGGAAAGACCCCUGGAGAAGGGAUAAGCUACCUACUCCAGUAUUCUUGGGCUUCCCUGGCAGCUCAGUGGGUAAAGAAUCCACCUACAAUGCAGAAGACAUGGGUUCGAUCCUUGAGUUGGGAAGAUCUGCUGGAGAAGGGAACGGCUACCCACUCCAGGAUUCUGGCCUGGAGAAUUCCAUGGACUGUGUAGUCCAUGGGGUCUUAAAGAGUCGGACAGGACUGAGCGACUUUUCACUCACUGGAUUCCUGGGAAUUAGGAGUGCUGGAAAAAUACGCUGGGCCAUUUAUUUUCUAUAUUAUUUUCUUUAUUCUGUAACUUCUCACUAAUGGCAGGUGAGUGGAGAAAAGGGGAAAUUGAAUUGGGAAUGGUUGCAAUACUGAACCGGGGCAGCAGGGGGCAGCCUGUAGCUUUGCAUCCUCUGUGGGUCCCUGAACCACCAGUUACCUCUCCUACCAUCCUCCCAGCACCCCCUCAAGGAAGCUGGGCAUCUUUAAGAUUGGAGGCAUUUUGAGAAUGAGUGUGACGUCCAGAGAAAGUGUCUGUGAAGGAACCCCGUGCAGCAGGCUUCCAGGAAGACGUGCGGGACACACAGCCCUUGGUGAAAAGAGUCUCCAAGCAGCAGUGAUGCUGUAACAACAGGGUUCUAAGGAGCUGGAAGAGGAGCUUCACGUCCUAGGUUCUGCAUCCUUGUCAAGCCUGUGGUCGCUUCGGCAGCAUCCUUGCUGUGCCUCGGUUUCACCUUAUCCAUUGCAGAGAGCUCUCUGUUAUGACAUGCCUGGUGCUCUCCCAUACGAAAUGCCUUUGUGCAAGAGGGUCUGAGCUUCUCCAACUGCUGAGAACAAGAUAUGGGAUGGGCUUCUAGGUAACUGAGGAUGUCUGUCAGACCUCCAGUGAGUUGACUUUUUUCCAGUCUCUUCAAACAUUCCUCCCAAGAUGUGGUUUCUAAGUGUUUCAACUUCAUCUCUAUUAGGGACCCUGAAAAAUCUGAAGGGUGUCCUUCAGAGGUACAAUAAUAAGGAGAAUACCUACCUGUGAGCAUUAAGUGGCAUAACACACGUAAAGGAUUUAAGUACAAGCUAAGCACUCAGUGAAGGUUGAUCUUAUAAAAGACUGGGAUUUAUCUUGGAACUCCUAUACACCUCGGGUUCAGGGCAUGCUGCUCCAGAGAGAAUUUGCAGUUAUUUCUGCCAAGCACGCAGGGAACCAUCAACCCUAGGUCACUCAUAGAUAAUUUCUUGAUUUUGGUUUCCAGACCAAGUAGUGUCAGUUCAAACUCCAUACCCAGUGAGGGCAGGUAUGUGAUUAUGGCUUCUCAUGGAGGACUCUCUUUCCCUUCUUAGCAAGUAGGAGUGGGAAUUGAAAGGUUUCCUUGACAUCUUCCUCUGCUAAUUUUUUCAUGUUCCAUCUUAUCCCUGAGCCUUCUUGUCCCCCAGGCUCCAAGGAUCCUGCAUUUCUAAGGCGUCUUAUUUCCAAGUACCUUCCUGGUACAGGCCCACGGUUUUGUUCUGGUUUCCGAACAGCGUGGACACCAAGCCUCCUUGUUCCCGAGCUUGGCAAAUGUCCCUGGGAGGGCAGGAGCUUGAGUUCUCAGUUUCCUCUUUGCUUUUGGCUCCUGGUUCUUCUUUGACUUGAUCGAAGGCACCACUAUGCAUUUAAGAGGAUAUUUAUCAUAUAUUACCCAGGAUUUGUAGGUGUUUUGUGGCAAUAGAAUUUUCAGAUUAUGGAAAUUUCCACGUUGCUGGAGACAAAAAUAUCUAGAUAGAUGUUAUGACUCACUCAAACCCAUGCAGCCUGAACGGAGCCAGACCCACCCCCUCGCUGCCCCCUGCAGACAUGCAGGCUGGCCUGCCAGUAGGCCUGCCUGCUUCCUGCUGGGCCUUCAGAAAUACCACAUCUGGCUCACAGACCCACCAGCACCUUCAUGGGUCUGUAGGCCCGUGGGCAACUUGAACUGGCAAGUGUGGUUGGUGGCAUCAGCAUCCCUUAUGGUCACACUGAGGCCGCCAAUUACCAUCUGUCAUUGUUCAUCUCUAGAUGUUGCUGCCACUUCAUUUUUACAAAGAAUUGCGGAAAGAGGUGAAACAAUUUUUCUUGCUAAAAUAAAGAUGAUUUAGCUCCUUGCCUUCCUUGGGGCUGUCAUCCUAACGACCUCAUUAAAGUGACAUGAGGUUGGUUCCUAGUGACUGUUCACCAGCUCCCAGCAAUUAGCUCUUUUUUUUUUUUCACUAAUCAUUUAAAAAUUACACCAUUCUGUGGGAGAAAAUAUUUGCAAAUGAUGCGACAGACAAGUGCUUAAUCUCCAAAAUAUACAAACAGCUCAUACAACUCAACAAAAACAAACAGCCCAAUUGAAAAAUGAGCAGAAGACCUUAAUAGACUUUUCUCCAAAGAAGACAUACAGAUGAAGACAUACAGAUGGCUGGUAGAGACAGGAAAAUAUGCUCAACAUCCCUAAUUAUUAGAGAAAUGUAAAUCAAAACUACAAUGAGGUACCAUCUCACACCAGUCAGAAUGCCCACCGUUAAAAAGUCUACAAAUAAUGAAUACCACGGAGUGUGUGGAGAAAAGGGAACCCUCCUACACUGUUGGUGGGAAUGUAAGUAGGUGCAGCCACUAUAGAGAACAACGUGGAGGUUCCUCAGAAAACUAAAAAUAGAGCUACCAUAUGAUCCAGUAAUCUCACUCUUGGGCAUGUACCCAGACAAACCUGUAAUUUGAAAAGAUACAGGCAACCCUAUGCUCAUAACAGCACUAUUCACAACAGCCAAGACAUGGGGACGACACACGUCUACUGAUCUAUGAGACUACGGUGCCUACUCACGAUGGAAUACUGCUCGGCCGUAAAGAGCGAACUAAUGCCAUUUGCCGCAACAUGGAUGUAGCUAGAGAUUAUCACACCAAGUGAAGUAAGUCAGAAAAAGAUAAAUAGCGUAUGAUACUUCUUACAUCUGGAAUCUAAAAUAUGGCACAAAUGAACCUGUCCACAAAACAGACACAGACUCACACACAUAGAGAGCAGACUGUAGUUGCCAAGGGGGAGGAGACGAGGGAGAGGGGUGGACUGGGAGUUGGGGUUAGUAGAUGCCAGUUAUUAUAUUUAAAAGGGGUAAACAACAAGGUCCUACUGUAUAUCAUCAGUCAGUUCAGUUGCUCAGUCGUGUCUGACUCUGCGACCCCAUGGACUGCAGCACACCAGCCUUCCCUGUCCAUCUCCUACUCCCGGAGCUUGGUCAAACUCAAGUCCAUUGAGUCAGUGAUGCCAUCCAACCAUCUCAUCCUCUGUCAUCCCCUUCUCAUCCUGCUUUCAGUCUUUCCCAGGAUCAGGGUCUUUUCCAAUCAGUCAGUUCUCAGGGAUGGCCAAAGUAUUAGAGUUUCAGCUUCAGCAUCAGUCCUUCCAAUGAAUAUGCAGGACUGAUUUCCUUUAGGAUGGGCUGGUUGGAUCUCCUUGCAGUCCAAGGGACUCUCCAAGUCUUCUCCAACACCACAGUUCAAAAUCUUAAAUUCUUUGGGGCUCAGCUUUCUUUCUGGUCCAACUCUCACAUCCAUACAUGACUACUGGAAAAACCAUAGCUUUGAUUAAAAGGACGUUUGUUGGCUGUAUAUCAUAGGUAACUAUAUUCAGUCUCCUGGGAUAAAUCAUAGUAGAAAAGAUUAUAAAAUAAGAAUGUAUAUAUGUGUAUAGCUGAAUCACUUUGCUGUAAAGCAGAAAUUAGCACAGCAUUGAAAAUCAACUAUACUUCAAAUAAAAAAUUAAAAUGGAAAAAGUAAAAAUCAUUAAAAAUUACAUACUUUGGAAGUUUGCUCAAAAUUGGUCAGUCUUGCUAGUUUGCUUCCAGAUUUCACCUUUUCCCUCCAUUCUUGAAAACUGCAUGACAUUUUCCUAUCUUCAGUCAGCCAACCUCUUUCUUCCUCUCUUAAUUUCUUCUGUGUUAUUUCAUUUGAUCUGGAAUGAGGCCUUUCACUCUCCCGGCUAUAAAUUGUCUGGUUCUGAAACUGUGAAAUUAUCUAACGUGACCAGAAACUUUCUUUCCUUUACCAUCUCUAUCUUAUCUGGGAUAAUGGCAUUGCAUUGUCUAUAAUGUGAGAACUCUGGGGAUAGAGCAUGUGGAUCGGAGUUGAAGUUGUAUCGGUAAACCAGGUUAUGGACUGAGCUAUUAAAAAUAUAAGCCCCCCAUGUGGAGCAGUAGAAUUCAGAUGAAACCUCAGGACUUGGAGAGGGAAGGGGGUGGGCAUUGAUAGUUAUUUAACACCUUUCUUUCCCAGACCACGUGCCAGACCCUCCCCCAAUUCCCACAACCACCAGAACCUCAGACAUUAUGGAGUAGCCUGCCUAGGUGGGUGGAAAGCAGCCUCCAGCUGGUUUUGUGACUUGUGGAAUUUAAUUACCUGUUCAUCUUACAUUCAUGUAUGAAUUCAUCUAUCUUUUAAAAAUAUUUUUCUUUUUAUUUCUCAGUAUAUACAAAGUUAGUGCCCCCUCUGGUUUAAUUUUCCAAGUUGUAAGCUGAGGUGAAGGCAGUGUCUCGGGGACCUUCUAACUCCAAGUUAUAACUCCAACUACAGCAACGUGGGGAACAAAGGCUGGGUCAGCGAGAGAUCUGACAUCUGUCCCGGUAGAGACAGGGCAGGCCCGGGUGCUGACUGUCCCGCUGUCCCCUCCAUGUUGGGCUCAGGUUCGCUCUUCCUUUUAAACUGGGAAGGUGAGUUUACGAUGGCAGAGCCUAGUGGACGGGUGGCUCUGUUGUUGGUGUGUAAAUCGGUGAUGCCUCCCUAGUGCCUCCCCGCUCUCUCCUCUGGGCUGUUCCUUAGCCUUCCGAGGAGCCCAGAGCAUCACUGCAAAUGUACAGCAAGAUUCUGGCAAAGCAGAGCAAUUUCGUAACAAAAAUAUUUCUUUUAAUAUUUUAGUUGGGAAUGCAGGCAGCUGUUAGAGGCUCUGAAGCUAAAUUCCAAAAGUGAGGCAAAGUGACUGACAAUCUGG